rnacentral:rRNA from 1 species
UACGGAGGGGGCUAGCGUUGUUCGGAAUUACUGGGCGUAAAGGGCGCGUAGGCGGAUAGUUUAGUCAGAGGUGAAAGCCCAGGGCUCAACCUUGGAAUUGCCUUUGAUACUGGCUAUCUUGAGUUCGGGAGAGGUGAGUGGAAUGCCGAGUGUAGAGGUGAAAUUCGUAGAUAUUCGGCGGAAACACCGAGUGGCGAAGGCGAAGCUCGACUUGGCCCCGUGUACCGUGACGACUGAGGCCUGGACGGAAAG